AGAUACACGGAUUUGGAAACUGGUCGUGUUUGUGGCCGGUUGUGGAGCAGUUGUGGGAGGUGUCUUACUGGCAUCUAUGAUUCUGAGAAACCAACAAAGCAGAGCAAAAUCGGUUUCUACGAGAUCACAAGCACUUGACAGCAGUAAUAAAAACGCUUGGUGUUCCUACAAUAUCAAAGUGUCACACACACCAGGUAAUGAGCAGCCUGUGGUUUCUUCUGUUCCUGCUGCCGACUGUCCUCUUGGUG